UACGUAGGGGGCUAGCGUUGUCCGGAAUUAUUGGGCGUAAAGAGCUCGUAGGCGGCUUGUCACGUCGGGUGUGAAAGACCGGGGCUUAACCCCGGUUCUGCAGUCGAUACGGGCAGGCUAGAGUUCGGUAGGGGAGACGUGGAAUUCCUGGUGUAGCGGUGAAAUGCGCAGAUAUCAGGAAGAACACCCGUGGCUAAGGCGGCUCUCUAGUACGGUACUGACGCUGAGACGCGAAAGCGUGGGGAGCGAACAGGAUA
rnacentral:rRNA from 1 species